ACUAUUGUCCCAUGACCCUGCCAAAUCCCCCUCUGUGAGAAACACCCAAGAAUUAUCAAUAAAAAGAAAAUUAAAAAAAAAAAAAAAAAAAAAACAGGCUACCUACAAUUUGUGUUGAAGAUAUGAAUGAAUGAAGUUUCCACACCCUUAUGUGGAGUUCUGAUAAGUAAGCAACAAUAAGGAAGGGUCCCCAGGUUGGGGAGACCCCAAGUUGAGAACAAUAAUGAACAAUUAUUGUAUGAACAAUUGUUAGAGACAGCUAAUCACAAACAACCUGCGGGCACAAUGACCCCAUUCCACACGUAGCACCCUUCAGCAGGACCCUAUAAAACUCUCCUCCAGCCCUUGCCUCUUUGCAGGUAGCCCCUUCUGUGCUGAGCUGCCCAUUGCAACAUAUUUUCAUAAUUUCUCUAAUAAAUCUGCCCUUCUUUACCUACAACUAUCUUGGUAAAUGGCUUUACCACCUGCAAAACUGACCCUAGGUUGUUGCUACCCGAUAUGGUUUGGCUGCAUCCCCACCCAAAUUUCAUCUUGAAUUGUAGUUCCCAUAAUCCCCAUGUGUCAUGGGAGGGACCCGGUAGGAGGUAAUCGAAUCAUGGGGGCAGGUUUUUCCCAUACUGUUCUCGUGAUAGUGAAUACAUCUCACUAAAUCUGAUGGUUUUAUAAAGGGCAGUUUCCCUGCACGUGCUCUCUUGCCUGCUGCCAUGUAAGACAUACCUUUGCUCCUUCUUUGCCUUCCACCAUGAUUCUGAGGCCUCCCCAGCCUUGUGGAACUGUGAGUACAUUAAACCUCUUUUUCUUUAUAAAUUGCCCAGUUUCGAGUAUUUCUUCAUAGCAGUAUGAAAAGUAACUAAUACACUACCUGAGACACCUUAGGAGAUUUGUAAUAGCUGUAAUGCCAGGUCCACCAUAUUUUUAGCAUAAAGCAAAUGUUUACCCAUGAUAUGACUGCACAGGCUUUCUUUCAGCUGGAGCCAUAGCAACUCAAGUAGUAACCCUAUCUUAGUCUGAUUAAAAGUAAAUAUUAGUCUGGGCAUGGUGGGACAUGCCUGUAAUCCCAGUACUUUGGGAGGCUGAGACAGAAGGAUUGCUUGAGCCCAGGAGUUUGAGACCAGCCUGGGCAACAUGGAAAAAC
rnacentral:lncRNA from 10 species